rnacentral:tRNA from 1 species
GGUUCCAUAGUGUAGCGGUUAGCACAUCCGCUUUACACGCAGAAGGUCCUAGAUUUGUGCCACAGUGGAGCCC